GCUAUAUUGGGUUAGCCAAAAAGAUCAUUUGGGUUUUUCUGAUGAUGUUAUGGAAAACUUGAAUGAACUCUUUGGUCAACUCAGUAUUAU
ensembl:miRNA MIR2284E microRNA mir-2284e